rnacentral:rRNA from 1 species
AUUGAACGCUGGCGGCAGGCCUAACACAUGCAAGUCGGACGGUAGCACAGAGAGCUUGCUCUCGGGUGACGAGUGGCGGACGGGUGAGUGAUGUCUGGGGAUCUGCCCGAUAGAGGGGGAUAACCACUGGAAACGGUGGCUAAUACCGCAUAACGUCGCAAGACCAAAGAGGGGGACCUUCGGGCCUCUCACUAUCGGAUGAACCCAGAUGGGAUUAGCUAGUAGGCGGGGUAACGGCCCACCUAGGCGACGAUCCCUAGCUGGUCUGAGAGGAGGACCAGCCACACUGGAACUGAGACACGGUCCAGACUCCUACGGGAGGCAGCAGUGGGGAAUAUUGCACAAUGGGCGCAAGCCUGAUGCAGCCAUGCCGCGUGUAUGAAGAAGGCCUUCGGGUUGUAAAGUACUUUCAGCGGGGAGGAAGGCGAUGUGGUUAAUAACCGCAUUGAUUGACGUUACCCGCAGAAGAAGCACCGGCUAACUCCGUGCCAGCAGCCGCCGUAA